GCUUGCUUCUCUUGAGAGCGGCGGACGGGUGAGUAAUGCCUAGGAAUCUGCCUGGUAGUGGGGGAUAACGUCCGGAAACGGACGCUAAUACCGCAUACGUCCUACGGGAGAAAGCAGGGGACCUUCGGGCCUUGCGCUAUCAGAUGAGCCUAGGUCGGAUUAGCUAGUUGGUGGGGUAAUGGCUCACCAAGGCGACGAUCCGUAACUGGUCUGAGAGGAUGAUCAGUCACACUGGAACUGAGACACGGUCCAGACUCCUACGGGAGGCAGCAGUGGGGAAUAUUGGACAAUGGGCGAAAGCCUGAUCCAGCCAUGCCGCGUGUGUGAAGAAGGUCUUCGGAUUGUAAAGCACUUUAAGUUGGGAGGAAGGGCAGUAAAUUAAUACUUUGCUGUUUUGACGUUACCGACAGAAUAAGCACCGGCUAACUCUGUGCCAGCAGCCGCGGUAAUACAGAGGGUGCAAGCGUUAAUCGGAAUUACUGGGCGUAAAGCGCGCGUAGGUGGUUCGUUAAGUUGGAUGUGAAAUCCCCGGGCUCAACCUGGGAACUGCAUUCAAAACUGACGAGCUAGAGUAUGGUAGAGGGUGGUGGAAUUUCCUGUGUAGCGGUGAAAUGCGUAGAUAUAGGAAGGAACACCAGUGGCGAAGGCGACCACCUGGACUGAUACUGACACUGAGGUGCGAAAGCGUGGGGAACAAACAGGA
rnacentral:rRNA from 1 species